rnacentral:rRNA from 1 species
UACGUAGGGGGCAAGCGUUGUCCGGAUUUAUUGGGCGUAAAGAGCGUGUAGGCGGCCUGAAAGGUCAGCUGUGAAAACUCGAGGCUCAACCUCGAGACGUCGGUUGAAACCAUCUGGCUAGAGUCCGGAAGAGGAGUGUGGAAUUCCCGGUGUAGCGGUGAAAUGCGCAGAUAUCGGGGAAGAACACCCGUGGCGAAGGCGGCACUCUGGGACGGUACUGACGCUGAGACGCGAAAGCGUGGGGAGCGAACAGG